rnacentral:misc_RNA from 1 species
CCGCGUGCUUUGUAUUUUCCUAAUUUUGCUACUGCAGAGCAAUGUCAAAGCGUAAUUAAUAUGGCAAAGCCAACCCUUAAGCCCUCCACUUUAGCUUUACGGAAGGGAGAAACAGAAGAGAACACAAAAGGAAUCAGAACCAGCUCUGGCAUGUUUAUUAGUGCUUCUGAAGACAAAACUGGGGUGUUGGAUGCUAUUGAGGAAAAAAUUGCUAG